AUUGUCUUCAAGGCAGAGGGGGCGGAGCUACAUCCGGUGAACGGAUCUGCUCGGUGCGUUUGUUACAGUAUACGACGUCACUCAAAUGUCACAUAAUCCACGUCAAAGAACACGGGCGGUUCUAAUACCUAACCGUCACACAAACAUCAGGAAGUUACAGAUAAAGCCAGGCUGGUGAAAACAUGAGCUCCUGGAGAAGGUAAUAAAGAUUUAAAAAAGACAACACAAAGCAAAAAGAGUUAAGUUUUUUAACGUUUAUUUCUUUCACUAUUUGAUACACCAAGUGCUUCAAGAACAAUGGUAACGAUCACAAACAUCAUUUCAACACAGCAGUGACUGUUUCCCUGCGUCUCAUCCCGCGGGUUUGGUCCAUUUUAUGUUCACGUCAAUAGAAACCAUGUCGUUUUCCCACGGGACUGACUCAGGGAAACGGGGGGGGGGGGGGGGGG